UUAAUUUAGAGUUUGAUCCUAGCUCAGGAUGAACGCUGGCGGCGUGGAUAAGGCAUGCAAGUCAAGCGGGUAUGGUAGCAAUACCGUAUCAGCGGCAGACGAGGCAGUAAUAAGUAGGAACCUCCCCAGAAGUCAGGCAUAGCUCGCCGAAAGGCGAGGUAAUUCCUGAUAGUCUCCGACCCGAAAGGCGUCGGAGUAAAGUCGCAAGACGCUUCUGGAAGGGCCUAUUCAGUAUCAGCUAGUUGGUAGGGUAACGGCCUACCAAGGCUAUGACGCUUAGGGGACCUGAGAGGGUGACCCCCGCCGAUGGGACUGCGAAACGGCCCAUACAUCUACGGAUGGCAGCAGCCGAGAAUAUUCGACAAUGCGCGAAAGCGUGAUCGAGCGACGCCGCGUGGAGGACGAAGCCCUUCGGGGUGUAAACUUCUUUUGCGGACUACAAAGUUUAUUGAUGAGUUCGAGAAUAAGGGGCUACUAACUCUGUGCCAGCAGUAGCGGUAAUACAGAGGCCCCAAGCGUUAUCCGGAAUCACUGGGCGUAAAGGGUGCGUAGGCGGUCCCGUUAGUCUUGCGUUAAAUUCUUCGGCUUAACCGAAGGCAUGCGCGGGAAACGGCGGGACUGGAGGAUGCAAGAGGCAAGCGGAACUCACGGUGUAGGGGUGAAAUCCGUUGAUAUCGUGGGGAACGCCAAAAGCGAAGGCAGCUUGCUGGUGCAUUUCUGACGCUGAAGCACGAAAGCGUGGGUAGCGAAUGGGAUUAGAUACCCCAGUAGUCCACGCCCUAAACGAUGUUCAUUUGCUAUAGGGAGUAUCGACCCUCUCUGUGGCGUAGCUAACGCGUUAAAUGAACCGCCUGGGUAGUACGGCCGCAAGGCUAAAACUCAAAGGAAUAGACGGGGACUUGCACAAGCGGUGGAUUGUGUGGUUUAAUUCGAUGGUAAGCGAAGAACCUUACCAGGGUUAGAAAUCUAGGUGAAGCUCUGUAGAAAUAUAGAGCGUCUCACAAGGACUCCUAGACAGGUGCUGCAUGGCUGUCGUCAGUUCGUGAUUUGAAUUGUUCCCUUAAGUGGGGUAACGAACGCAACCCUCGUUGCCUGUUAUAUUUGUCAGGCGAUACCGCCCCCGAUUUUGCGCAUGAGCCGUUGGUUCGCGCACAAAAUCGGGGGAGGAAGGCGGGGAUGACGCCAAGUCCGCAUGGCCCUCUGAUACCCUGGGCUACACACGCAAUACAAUGGCUAUUACAACGCGUCGCGACGGGGCAACCCUGAGCCAAUCGUUAUAAAAAUAGCCCCAGUUCAGAUUGAGGUCUGCAACUCGACCUCAUGAAGUUGGAAUCGCUAGUAAUCGCGGGUCAGCAAACCGCGGUGAAUACGUUCUCAAGUCUUGUACUCACCGCCCGUCAAGUUAGGGGAGCCGGGAAUGCCCGAAAUGCCGCCUCGCGCGGUCCUAAGGCAAGCUCGGUGACAAAAACUAAGUCGUAACAAGGCACGGGUAGCGGAAGCUGCUCGUGGAAUCAUUCAAGG
rnacentral:rRNA from 1 species